rnacentral:rRNA from 1 species
GACAGAGGGUGCAACCGUUGUUCGGAAUUACUGGGCGUAAAGCGCGUGUAGGCGGCCCUGCAAGUCGGAUGUGAAAGCCCUCGGCUCAACUGAGGAAGUGCAUCCGAAACUGGCAGGCUAGAGUACUAAAGAGGGUCGCGGAAUUCCCGGUGUAGAGGUGAAAUUCGUAGAUAUCGGGAGGAACACCGGUGGCGAAGGCGGCGACCUGGGUAGAUACUGACGCUGAGGAGCGAAAGCGUGGGGAGCGAACAGG